rnacentral:rRNA from 1 species
CCUACGGGGGGCUGCAGUGGGGAAUAUUGGACAAUGGGGGGAACCCUGAUCCAGCCAUGCCGCGUGUGUGAAGAAGGCCCUCGGGGUGUAAAGCACUUUCAGUGAGGAAGAACGCCUGGUGGUUAAUACCCAUCAGGAAAGACAUCACUCACAGAAGAAGCACCGGCUAACUCCGUGCCAGCAGCCGCGGUAAUACGGAGGGUGCGAGCGUUAAUCGGAAUUACUGGGCGUAAAGCGCGCGUAGGUGGCUUGAUAAGCCGGUUGUGAAAGCCCCGGGCUCAACCUGGGAACGGCAUCCGGAACUGUCAAGCUAGAGUGCAGGAGAGGAAGGUAGAAUUCCCGGUGUAGCGGUGAAAUGCGUAGAGAUCGGGAGGAAGACCAGUGGCGAAGGCGGCCUUCUGGACUGACACUGACACUGAGGUGCGAAAGCGUGGGUAGCAAACAGGAUUAGAUACCCUAGUAGUC